ensembl:snRNA U6 U6 spliceosomal RNA
GUGCUUGAUUCAACGGCACAUAUUCUAAAAUUGGAAUGAUACAGAGAAGAUUAACGUGGCUCUUGCAUAAGGAUGAUACACAAAGUCAUGAAGUGAAGAAUACAAAA